GUCGAGCGAACAGAUGAGGAGCUUGCUCCUCUGACGUUAGCGGCGGACGGGUGAGUAACACGUGGAUAACCUACCUAUAAGACUGGGAUAACUACGGGAAACCGGAGCUAAUACCGGAUAAUAUAUUGAACCGCAUGGUUCAAUAGUGAAAGACGGUUUUGCUGUCACUUAUAGAUGGAUCCGCGCCGCAUUAGCUAGUUGGUAAGGUAACGGCUUACCAAGGCAACGAUGCGUAGCCGACCUGAGAGGGUGAUCGGCCACACUGGAACUGCGACACGGUCCAGACUCCUACGGGAGGCAGCAGUAGGGAAUCUUCCGCAAUGGGCGAAAGCCUGACGGAGCAACGCCGCGUGAGUGAUGAAGGUCUUCGGAUCGUAAAACUCUGUUAUUAGGGAAGAACAAAUGUGUAAGUAACUAUGCACGUCUUGACGGUACCUAAUCAGAAAGCCACGGCUAACUACGUGCCAGCAGCCGCGGUAAUACGUAGGUGGCAAGCGUUAUCCGGAAUUAUUGGGCGUAAAGCGCGCGUAGGCGGUUUUUUAAGUCUGAUGUGAAAGCCCACGGCUCAACCGUGGAGGGUCAUUGGAAACUGGAAAACUUGAGUGCAGAAGAGGAAAGUGGAAUUCCAUGUGUAGCGGUGAAAUGCGCAGAGAUAUGGAGGAACACCAGUGGCGAA
rnacentral:rRNA from 1 species